rnacentral:rRNA from 1 species
CCUACGGGAGGCAGCAGUGGGGAAUCUUGCGCAAUGGGCGAAAGCCUGACGCAGCCAUGCCGCGUGAAUGAUGAAGGUCUUAGGAUUGUAAAAUUCUUUCACCGGGGACGAUAAUGACGGUACCCGGAGAAGAAGCCCCGGCUAACUUCGUGCCAGCAGCCGCGGUAAUACGAAGGGGGCUAGCGUUGCUCGGAAUUACUGGGCGUAAAGGGAGCGUAGGCGGAUAGUUUAGUCAGAGGUGAAAGCCCAGGGCUCAACCUUGGAAUUGCCUUUGAUACUGGCUAUCUUGAGUGUGGGAGAGGUAUGUGGAACUCCGAGUGUAGAGGUGAAAUUCGUAGAUAUUCGGAAGAACACCAGUGGCGAAGGCGACAUACUGGCCCAUUACUGACGCUGAGGCUCGAAAGCGUGGGGAGCAAACAGGAUUAGAUACCCUGGUAGUCCACGCUGUAAACGAUGAGUGCUAGUUGUCGGCAGCAUGCUGUCGGUGACGCAGCUACGACAUAAGUACACUCCGCCGUCGGGAGGUACGGUCGCGAGAAGUUAAACGUUAAAGUAAGUUAGUUAGUACGUUGUUAGAGNGCGACGACGACGACGACGGAGGAGGAG